UACGGGGGGAGCAAGCGUUGUUCGGAUUUACUGGGCGUAAAGGGUGCGUAGGCGGCGGGGCAAGUCUGAUGUGAAAUCCCGGGGCUCAACCCCGGAACUGCAUUGGAUACUGCUUUGCUAGAGUACUGGAGAGGGAACUGGAAUUUACGGUGUAGCAGUGAAAUGCGUAGAGAUCGUAAGGAAAGGCCAGUGGCGAAGGCGAGUUCCUGGACAGUAACUGACGCUGAGGCACGAAGGCCAGGGGAGCAAACGGG
rnacentral:rRNA from 1 species